GCACGUGUGACUUCUCUUAGUCUGCCUCCGCAGCUGCAGGUUUUUGCCUCACCUGUGGAUGGAAACUUAGGGAGUCUCAGCCUGGAGGUGCUUUCUCCUUCGCCUUCCACAAGAGUGCAGCCAUGUGACACUGAGGUGGCAACACCAGGCCCACCUUGAGCGGUGCCUGACUGCCCAUCUGUCGCAAGUCCUGUGCCUUGGGACCUCCUCUGGGCCCAUCAGUGUGGCAGACAUUGUGUGCCAGAGCCUGGCAUUUGAUAGGUCUGAUUUGAACUCCCAGGUGAGCUGUGUAUCUUUGGCCAAAUUCCUUCCCCCGUCUGGAACCUUGGUUUCCUUAUCUGGAAGGUAGGACAGAAGCCACUUCCUGGGUGAACGUGGCAGGCAGAGCACACAG
rnacentral:lncRNA from 1 species